rnacentral:lncRNA from 1 species
CCAGGCUGGCCUUGAACUCAAGAGUUCCACCUGCCUCUGCCCCCAGAGUCCUGGGAUUAAAAGUGCGUGCUACCACUGCCUGGCCAUACAUGUUUCUUAAAGCAAGUAAUGGUUAAGCCCAUUUCAUGUUUGAAUAAUUGUUCUUCUAGAGCAUUCUCCUAUCACUGACCCAUCUAGGAAAGCACUUGAGCUUUGAAAGGACAAGGGUAGUGAAAUUUGCAUGAGAGAGAAUCAGUUUCUUCCAGAAAGAUCCUGAGGAAGACAUUUGAUCCAAUGGAUUUGGUUGCUCAGAAGUUCAACAAACAAGUGGAGUGGCAUCCCCUGGCUCCUCCUAGGAGAUUAUACAUAUAUAAAGACGGCUCCUAAGACAACAUGUAACAUAACCUACAGAAAUACCACUCUUAGGGCAUCCCUUUAAAAAAUGUUAAUCCACUUUAUAAACCAGUAAUUCCUAGACUUUGUUGAGGUUUUGUUUUGUUUUGUUGGUUUUAAGUUUUAUAACAUUCUGUUCUCUUGGAAAUGUACUAUAUGUGUUAUAUGUAUAUAUAAGUUAUAGUGACUUGAACUCUGUUUGGCAUAGGUUGAGAACUAUUGCUGGUAGCAUUGAGUGUGUAGCACAGCCGCUGACUGUCACCAUCUGAGAGCAGGGUACAGAAAGGAGUUUGGUUUCCUCAGCAGUUAAUGCCCAGGUGCUUGAGCAUCAGCCCAGCCAGCCUCGAUGAGUGCAGCCACCCAAGGAGAGGACGAGAGAACUUUGACCCCCUGUUUCAGCACACAGUUUUAAUUUUGUACUCUGUCAUUUUUUUUAUCAAAUGCCCUCACUAUUCCCUAAAAAGUCUUGGAACUGAAAACCAGACUGAACUUUUGGUGCAGUGACAUUUCCACAGCUGUGCUUUAGGGGUUUCUAUCCUCUGCGUGUGGUGCAAGUAUUUAAAACAAAUAGCAUGGAUAUGUCAUUUCCAAACCCGCAAGGGAAAAUUACCAAUUUCCACUUUACUAACAGAUUAAAUGCUAUUGACUGAAUGCCCACCAUCCUACAGGAAAGCCACAGUGAGUGCUGAGGGUGGGCGUGGCUGGUGCUUGGACACUUCUUAGCUGUGUUAGAUCAGCUCAAGCAGCAGCGCUGUUUACCUGGGUCACACCUGGGAGGGACUUAGCUUCCAAAUCUGGUUUUUGCUUUUCAUCUCCAGGGCCUUAAUAAGAGUGUGUUAGUACACAUGACUAUUUUACAGAUAAUUCAAAAUAAUUUAUUUUUUAUUUGAAGAAAGCGGAAAUCCACCUUGAAAAAAACAAAACCCAAGAUUUUAUUUUAUUUUUAAAGCCAUAUUUUUGUGCUUUGUAGCACUUAGAUUGUUCCAUAUGUGAUCCAUAUCUGCAUUUCAUUACCUGGGUUCUAAAAAAGAUUUAUUUUUGUUCUGUGAAUAAUUUUUGACGGUUCUUGUACAUGUACAGAUAUAGAUACGUUUGAGGUCUUUUAUUGAUAUUCCUACAAAAAAUACAAAUAAACUUUAACUUUAAACAUUUCAGACUAAGGGUUGCUACUGUCUUCCUCAUACAUCUGGGUGCUUAGGCACUUGGAACACUGGAAUAUUGUUCUG